ACAGCCUGCUGGGAAGCUGCAGAUGGGCAGGGUCUGCAGCUGCGCAGAGAAUGAAAUGGAUGGUCCAACACAGACAAGGCCGACCACUCCACCGGAUGAAAGCCUUGUCAGAGCAAAUCUAUUACCAGUUCCUUUUCAUUGGAAAGAGAAUUCUUUUCACAUCAACUAUAUUCAAGUCUACAACAGGUUAAACGUGACCAUGUUUAUGAUCAACUUCAAUAGAGCAUGAAUAGUCUACCUCAUUUUGUUUGAUUAUACAUAGCCUCUUUAUCAGUGAGAAAUAUGAGUUCAUUGAUUUGAGAAAUCAAUAUAAAAAUUGUAUGCAGGGUGGUUUCAAAAUCAUACUGAGGAAGCAACAUUUCUAAUUGCAGUUUUCUCAGACAACCCUUUUGUCAUUUGGGGAGGGAAUGUCCAGUUAUUUUUUAAGCUACCUGGGUAAGAUUCCUUUCCUCACUACUUUCAGAAAUCAGGCUUUUUACGUACAUUCAAAAAGGAGGUAUGCUGUUUUGUCCAUAUUACUUCACAGGGUAACCCAACUUACUGUUUACUGUGUACAAAGUGUAGGAUUAAUCUUUAUGCUAAAAAAUGUAUACAAUUUUAAGACAAGACCAUGGAAGUGCUUUAGUGCAUUACAGUAAUUAUCUUCAUCUUACCCAUGAAACCUUUCAUGACCCAAGUGACCUUGUAGUUAUUAAUAAUUAUAUUGGUUUAUUACUCCUGCACAACACCCUUUUCACAGUGUUACAUACACGAGGUUUCGAUUUUUUUCUACCCCAUCUUUUUAUUUAGUUCUGUGCCUCUUGUAUAAUAAAGUACAUUUCGUGGCAGUUAGGCAUGUAGUUGCCUAAGGAUGGAAAGUAUUGAGAAAUUAUGAUAUUCUAAUAAGAUAUCCCUGUAGGUACUGUGGAGAAAGGUGUACUAAAAUUCUCACGUUAAUUAAGACUGUUUUCCCUUCCUUUUUAGUUGUAAUAUAUUUUAUAUAUGCUAGUAAACACAUCUAUAUUCUAUACUCAGGGAUCACACUUUAUUCCAUUGAUUGAGAUAUAUAUGUUUAUUUCACACUAUAUUUUGUUUCUAGUAUUAUUUUUGUUUGUUUUCUUGCUGCUAAUUUAGAUGUUAAUGUUUUGUUCCAGUUUAUAAUCUCUUGUGGGCAGAAGAUGACAGAACUGACAUACUACAGAGGAAGGUAUGAAGAGUUACAGCGAGCAAGUAUGGGCCAUUCUCUCAGGUAUUUCUGCAGAAGCCACCCAUUAUAAGUGCACCAAACUUAUGUAUCAUUGGUAAGAAUUGCUCACAUGUGUUUAUACAUUAUGGCCGUUUUAAAGCAUAGAUUAACCCAUAAUGUUCAAGAGAGAGCCUCCUUGUUUUUCUUUUAAAUUCAUUUGUUUUGAUUUCGUGCAUAUAAUUAUUUUGUCUAUAUUUUUUUUUGUUGUUGUUGUUUUCUUUUGGGCAACACUUCCAUUCCUGGUAGCUGCUGUGGCCAGAAGAUGAUACUGAAUUUCUGAGAGCUGGAGUCAAGGGUGAUUGUGAGUUACCAUGUGGGUGCUGACAAAGGAACACAAGUCCUUUGGAAGUGCUCCUAAUCCAAGCCAUAUCACGAGACAGAGUCACCUUAGCUUUGUUGUUGUUGUUGAUGAUGAUGUUGUUGUUGUUUUUGACACAGAGUCUCUCACAGGGACCUGAGUUUCACAGAUUUGACUGCCUGACCAGGGACCUCCAGGGACAUGGAAUUCUUGACUUUCCAGUGUUUGCUAGGACUGAAGAUGUGUACCACCAUCACCCCACGGUUGUAAGGAAGCCAUACGUGUCUGACUGAAAAAUGGAUUACUUAGAUAAGGAUGACCCUUGAAGAACAAUCUUGCUUUGGGUUGAGAUACUUCAGUUAUGAAGACCACUUAGCCAGAGGCAGAACUACAGAAGGAAAAAGCAAGAUCUACCUGAGGACCAAGCUAUGUCACUCUUUGGAAUAUACC
rnacentral:sRNA from 1 species